UACGUAGGGUGCGAGCGUUGUCCGGAAUUAUUGGGCGUAAAGAGCUCGUAGGCGGCCUGUUGCGUCCGCUGUGAAAGCCCGGGGCUUAACCCCGGGUCGGCAGUGGAUACGGGCAGGCUAGAGGUAGGUAGGGGAGAGUGGAAUUCCUGGUGUAGCGGUGAAAUGCGCAGAUAUCAGGAAGAACACCCGUGGCGAAAGCGGCUCUCUGGAACGGUACUGACGCUGAGACGCGAAAGCGUGGGGAGCGAACAGG
rnacentral:rRNA from 1 species